rnacentral:rRNA from 1 species
AUGUCGUUCAACGCUUUGGAGUUAGUGUGUUGGAAUGUUAGAGGCCUUAACAGUCCGGCCAAAAGGAAGGCGCUUAGGGGUUUGGUGGAUUCCACUCGCGCGGCGAUUGUUUGUAUCCUAGAAACUAAACUUGAGGUGGUGGACACUUUUGUAAUCUUGCAACGUAUGGGGCCGAACUAUGAUGGUUUCACCUACUUACCGGCGUCGGACACUAGAGGCGGUAUCUUUGUGGCAUGGGACAUCACACGGGUCCUCUUGUCAAAUUAUGUCAAUGACUCCCAUAGCAUUUCGGUGUACGUCUCGCCCAAGGAGGGAGAGCCAUGGUGGCUCACAGUAGUAUAUGGGCCUUAG